rnacentral:lncRNA from 1 species
AUUGAACCUGGACCUUGCACAUGUGAGCAAGCACUCUACCACCAAGCUACACUCCAGUCCAGACGGUUACGUAUUUUCAAGUAAGACCUCAUUUUUGAACAUACAGUGCCACCACUGGGAUGUGUUGUCUUUUUGUCAUAAUGAGAAUCCACGAUGACCUUUGCCAGUCUCUUCUGCAUCCUAUGCUUUAGUGUUUUAUUUAUCCAUAAAAAGUUUAUAAUAUAGACAAACCAGAAUAUUUGGGGGGUAGAACAAUAUAACAAGAAUCUAUGGAUUUUUUAAAAGUAUUUGGAAAUUUUUGAGUACAAUGUGUUUCUCAAAACUUCCUACCUGUUAUGUCUUUAGAAAGUGAGAAUUUUCAGAAGUGAAUAAUUUUCAACAAGAGGGCCCUACUGUGUGCUAUUCCAGUUAUAUGAUCAUGUAUCCAAACUGAAAGAAAGUACAUUCAGUUCAGUAGUUUCAAGGGAGUUUUGUCUUUUCUUGCUUUUGCUACUGUUCUUCAGUAUGACCAGCACAGAGGGAGAGGGUACCCAUCCAGACUUGUGCCUGCCACACUUCGUUAAAACCAGGGCCAUUGACAUCCCUGUCCUUUCCUUCUAGUGUUUCUUAUAUUUUCUCCAAAAGUAUAUUCAAGCAUCCAAAUAUUUUUUUCAACAUUCUUUCCUAAUGGUCUUCCAUUUUAUGUUUUCUAAUCUUAAUUUCAAAAAUAUUUCUGAUGACCAGGAAAAAAGUCACAUAACAGCUUAGUAUUUUAUUUUAGAACUCAUAGCAUCUUACUACAUUAGCAUAUAUGAUGGUUAAUUCUAUGUGUCAGUCUGUCUGGGUUAAGGGGUAUGCAGGGGGCUGGUGAAGCAUGAUUUCUGGGUGUCUGUGCAGGUGUUUCUGGAGGAGAUCAGCAAUUGAAUUAGCGGACUGAGUGAGGAAGACAUGCCCUCACCAGUGUGGGUAGCCUGGUCCCAUCCAUUGAGGUCCUGGACAGAACAAAACAGAGGAGAAAAAAUGAAUUUUCUCUCUUAUCCAGAGCGGGGACUCCCAUUAUUUCACAUGCUGGAGCUUCAGGUUCUUGAGUCUUUGGAUCUGAGGAUUUAAACCAGCAGUUCCCCAGCUUCUCAGGUCCUUGGACUCAAAUGAACUGUCCCACAGGUUUCUGUGGUUCUUCAGGUUCCAGAGAGCACAUUGUGAGACUAACUCCUUCACAAUCAAGUGAGACCAUUCUUGUAAUAAAUCUCUUGUAGACUUUUAUCUACACCUGUGUCUGUAUCUUAUUGGUCUGUUCCUCUGGAUAACACUAACUAUUAUAAAGCAUACAUUAACGGAAGUUAAUGUUGUGUACUGGUGAAAUUUUCAUAACAAAAAUUACUAAAACAUAACUAGUGCAUCAUUAUGUAAGCUCUAGAAAAUGUCUUGGGAACACUUCAUGAUUAAUCCCACAAUGAAAGCACUGUAGAUUUAAAUUGAAAGCUUAAUAAUACCAUUACAGUAAUAUCAAAUGGCAUAAACUGUAAAAUGGAAAGUAAAUUUGGCAGGGCUUUAAUACCAAAGGAGAUUUUUAAAGUUUUAGUAUACUCAAGUCAGUUAUCAGCCAACUUCUUGUUUGGAAGCACAGAAAAAUAAUGCACAAUAAAAAUAAUGUUAUGGUAUAGCAGCAGGGUCCUUUGAUAACAAGUCUAAUCAUCUGUAAGUCAAAGCAGAAUGGUAUGAUAAAACACUGUCAGAACAAGGCACUUUACUUUUACCUGUCACAAAACAAUAAUUUUGUUAAGAUAUCUCAUUGCUGUCUGCUUGAAAAUUACUGCAAUAAAAUAUACUGGUUGCCCAACUUUGGAGACAACAAAAAACAUAUUUCAAAAUUGCACAGAGGUCUGUGAUGGGAGCUUGUCAUGCGCCCGCCACCCCCUUUGAAAUGGCACCCUUGUGCAGAGCACUACUGAGCAACUUUAUUUGAUGGCCUUGGUACUUGGGUUGUGUUCUCAUCAGAGAGGAGCUGGUUUUUCUAGAUUUCUCUUCACGAUUCAGUCCAGUAGGACAUUUAAAUGAAAGUAAUGAAAUGUUAUGCAAGUGAAGAUUAUUUUGUUAAUUCCUGUGAUUCCCUUUACAAAUAUAUUCUGAUUGUCAACAACAUUUCUGGAGACUUACUGGCUUGUGAUUAAUGUGGCAUCAGGAAUGGAUCCAUUAGUGAUGUGAACAUGGCAGCAGGAAAACCAAGCUUCCUUUCCAUUAAAAAAAAAAAAUAUGACUGUGAGGAAAACCUUUCAUUGAACCAAUGAAAUCUGAAUCUGUCAUCUUAUUUCUUAAUCUUGAAACCAUAGUGACAAAGGGAGAAAGCCAUGCAGAGGGAGUCACAGGCUCCAAUCAGAGCUCAGCUUUGGGUUUGCAUCAGGUCUUCCUGCCAGGCAUCCCCAAAGGCUUUCCCAAAGCUGGUCCAGACCUGCUCUGAUCUCUGAUCUCCAGUCCUGUUCUUAAAUCCCAGGCCCAGGCUGACUGAGCAGAGGCUAAUGAGGGAAGGUAAGCUGAGCUUCCUGCUUCCAUAAUUGUUCACUGGGUUCGUUCUUCUGGCUUUAUUGUCUUUGUUUUUUUGUUUUUUUUUUUUUUCCUUACAUAUCACCUAGGAAAAUGCAGCUGUUCAAAAAAGCAAGCUUUGUCCCUUCCUGCUGGGGUCCCUGCAGUAUGCCUAGAUGUGGUUAUCCUUCUCUUACUUAUGAGUCUCCACCCACAGAGCCAGAAAAACCUGGACUGGCCCUCCCAGAGCUUCCACAUAAGAGGAAAAAGCAACACUAACUACCUGUUUUACCGUGGUUAUACCUCAAAAAGGCCCACAUUCCCUAUAGAAAAGGCCCCAAAUUUCACAAAAGUCCCAUCAUCACCUAAACAUGGCCUCUUUGGCAAGGAAGGCAUACUGCCUAAAGCCACUGCAGCCUGCAGGCGGAGGUUUCUGCAGGCCAGCGUGGUCUCCACGUGCUAUUUGUCCACAUACUCUGCUCCGUCGUGUACGAGGCACCUUUGCUCUCCUGCCAGGCCACUUAGCAAGUGCCUUCUAAACUAGCCAGCCCAACUCUCUGUGUCCUGCUCAGUAGCCAGGGGUUCUCUGACCCUCUAGCCCACCAUAAGCAACUCCCAUCUAGGUUUUUCAGAGAUGCUCAUCAUUUACUGAGACCCAUAGGAGCUCAGUUAUUUUCUCUCCUCCCCUCUUUCUUCCCUGUCAUUCUUCAGCAUCACCCCCUUCACGUGGUCAGCAGGCUUAGGGCUCCUCCAGGGAUGUAAAGAUACAUCUGCUCCAAUUUUUUUUUCCAGGGGGUAUGGGCACCAUAAUUCCUUUCUUUAGAUCCCUUCUGUCACUGGCUGAGUUGUGUCCCUCUAAAUUCAAAUGUCUAGGUUCUAAUUCCCAGUACCUCAGAGAUGACUGUAUUUGAAGAAAUUAACUUUACACAGUUUAUUAAAUUAAAGUGAAGUCAUUAGGAUGGGCCUUUGUCCAAUAUGAUUGGUGUUUUUGGGAGAAGAGGAUAUCUGGACACAGACAUAGAGAUGAAAUAUCACGGGAACAUGAAAACAGCCACAUGGAGGCAAGCAGUGAGGCCUCAGAACAAAUAAACUUUCCAGUACCUUGAACUUGGACUUCCAGCCUCCAGAACCAUGAGAAAACAAAGUUGCAUUGUUUAAGCUACCCAGUCUUUUUUUUUUUUUUUUUUUUUUUGCAGCCCUGACAAAGUAAUACACUUUCAGCACUGGGGUUAACCUUGCUCUGAGGUCAGAGGUCACUGGUGAAAAGAGACAGUGAUAUAUGAUAAGGAAAUACAGCAAAAUCUUAACUAUAGACUCUGGGUGCCUGGAUGUGUCUUUCAGGGUCCAGUCAGAGGCAGGAACGACGUAGUGAUCUGAGCCAGGAAAGUUUAACAUGAAGAAUGAUUACCAGUUACAAGGGCUUAAGCACUGAGAGGGCUCUGAAGAACAGCAGUCACAGGGGGCAGCCUUUACUACAGAUGCACCCAGAGAAAAAACAAACGUGGAAGGGGUGGACAGGGUGUGGUGGGACCCUCUGAAUGGUGAAGAAGUUUGCCAAAGUGCAGCCAGCCCGUGCUGAUAAGCAGAGAGCUGUGCUCUGAGGCACCAGGAACUCAGGGAGAAGCUGCCCACAGGUGUGCUCCUGAAACUGGCUAGGUGAACACUCCAGGGUCCCUCAUGCUGCUGGCCAACAUGAGCCUAAAUAGCAAAUCCUGGGGUGUCUCCCAGAAACAGCUAGAGAAGCCCCUUCCUCCUCCAGUGUACCUCUAUUGAAAAAGCUUGGUAAGCACCAAGCCAUCUGGAGAGGAGACAUAUAGGGCACAGCUCCAGUGUCACCAAGUACAGCAAGAAGAGUAGAUUUGGAGCUGAGAGACAACACACAGAUAGCUGGCACAGAGUGUUCGUUCAGGGGACACAUGCCUGACAGGGCUCAGGUAGAUACUUCUUAAAUUUUUCUGUAGAGGAGAAAAGAAGAAAAGUUCAGGGAUUUAUUGGAAGAUGAUCCACUAGUUGUUUCAGGAUAGAUAGUGCCAGCUUUACAUCAAACCACCCUGAGCAUUCCCUGGGUUUCCCAGGAACGCAUGACCUUUCUCCUCAGUGUGUUUGAGGGGAACUUGCUGCAUCAUUAGCAAAGAUUUCCCAAGUAUUCCCAAAGAUUUCCCAAGUAUUUCCCAAGUAUUCCCCUGCCUUUUGAGGCCCCUAGAAAGGGUGAGGUCUACUGGGAGUGAGGGGGGUGAAGAGGGCAUAAGCUGUAGAUGGGAUGAGAUAGUCUGAUUCCACUUCUUUUGCACCUGAGGCAAAAGAGGGAGCUGUCCCAAGCCCUGUGCUCAUGACUGAGGGACUCUUGUUGUCACUGGAGUCGAAAGAGGCAUGAACAGACUCAGAGACUCCCAAGAUGGCAGGGCUGAAAGAUCCCACAGAACCAAGUGCCUUCCUUCACCCAGGCCCAGAGAAGACCAGGACUAGAUAAGAGGGGAACCUGUUCUGAAGAUAUCCUUGGAGUUUCUCAGAACCAGUUCAAGGUUUUGGCAAUAAGUCAAAUGGUGUUAUGAAGAACUUUUAAAAAGUGGAUACUUUUGAAAUCAUCUUUUACUUUUCUCUUUCUGAGCAAAACUAGUCCACCUCCAGUUCUUCUGGUCUACUGCAUCUGGUUCAUCACAUUCUGAUUUUAGGUCCCUGCUGCCGCUGCCGCCGCCUCCUCCUCCUCCUCCUCCUCCUCCUCCUCCUCCUUCUUUUAGAAUAUUUGUUUUUUAGUUGUAGAUGGGCACAAUACCUUUAUUUUAUUUAUUUAUUUUUAUGUGGUGCUAAGAUCCAACCCAGUGCCUCGUGGUGAGCACUUUACUGCUGAGCCACAACCUCAGUCCCCCUGGCUUUUUCCCCCCACUUUUAUUUUAUUGGUGUACUGUAGUUGUACAUAACAGUGGAAUUUGUUGUUACAUCAUCAUACCUGCACAUAAUAUAACUAUAUAAUUGACCAAUAGCAUUCCCCAGUAUUUCCCCUUUCUCUCCCCUGGUCCUUUCCUCUACUCUCCUGAUCUCCCUUUGCUUUACAUGAGAUCCCCCUGCAACACCUUUCCAUUUGUCCUCUCUAGUUUUCACAUAGCCUUGACCUUCUGAGUUUAGCUUACUUUGCUUAAUAUAAUGUUCUCAAAUUCCAUCAAUUUUCUGCAAAUGACAUAGUUUCAUUCUUUUUUAUGACUGAAUAAGCUUCAUUGUGUAUAUAUAUAUACAUUUUCUUUAUCCAUUCAUCCAUUGAUGGACACUAAAUGUGUUUCCACAGUUUGGCUAUUGUGAAUUGUGCUAUUAUAAACAUGGAUACGCAUAUGUCACCAUGGUAUAAUGACUUUAAUCCUUUAUGAUAAAUAGGAAGAAAUGGGGUAGCUGAGUCACACCACAAUAAAAUAAAUGGUGGUUUCAUUCCUAGUCUUUUGAGGGACCUCCAUACUGAUUUCCACAGUGAUUGUACUGAUUCACAGUUCCAACAACAGUGGUGUCUCUAGCUUCUUAAGGUCAGGACACAGCACAAUUGUAUCAGCCCAGAGCUGCAAAGUUCUUACUCUAUUGCCUUGAGUUAGACUUCUCCUCCCACUCUGGUCUUGGGUCCUUUGCCUUGACCAUUGUGGGACUUCAGAGUAUUCUGUUCAUGGAUAUAACCAAGAGCAGGAGUCUCCCUACUAAAGUCAACUCUUUGUGUCUAAUACUACCACUGACUACUGGGCUGAGUAGUGGAUUUUGACCCCUCGUCCUCCUUCUAAGCCAGUUAUCAAUGCACCUAGUCACCCUACUGCAUGGCUACCUUGCCCUUCUCAGAGUUCAGGGUCAGGAGCCCAUCAUCUAGGAGCUCAGCCAAGUGGGUUAAGGUAAUUUGUUCCCCUCUUGAAUUAGGGGAUACCCAAGACAUGGGAUGGUGAUGAUGAGCACACACUCUCAGGAGCUGUUCCCAGCUCCUGAGGAACUGUGUUUUUCAGAGGCUGAGGCUGAGGGAGUGUAACUGCAUACUUUCUUAGACUCACACUGGUUCUCAAUGCACCCCAGACUCAGCAGGAACGUUUUAUCAGUGCAGAUUACUGCACUUCCAGCACUGUGUUUUCUAUGUUGCACUUCCGGGGUGGGGCCUGGGAAUGUGUCCAAUUCCAAAUUCAGUUGUCCAACAAUUUUAAGCUGAAUAUAUUCUCUAUGCUAAGCAAUGUCCUAGGACCUCAGGGUAUAUUAAAAACAAAACAAAAAAUCCCAACCCCCAUGCAGCUUGUCUUCUGGUUGGGGGCAUGACAGGUAAUAUAAACAGAGUAAGGGAAUUUAUGCUAGGUUAAAAGGUGAUAAAUACUAUGGAGAAAAAAACAGCAGGAGGACAGGGAUUAGGAGCAAGGGACAAUUCUCAAUAGGGCCAUCAGAAUUGUCCUGGCUGAGAUGACAUUUAUGUGAUGUCUUUAAGGGGGUGUGGCAAUGUCUCAGCUACCUGGGAAGAGGCUUUGCAAGUAGGAACCAGUGUGCUGGACCCAAGGAGGCCAGAAUGGCUGAUUGGAACAAAUCCGGAAGAAGUGGAGGAGACGUGGCCAGUGGAAAUAUGGAGCCCUUUCCUGUGCGGUAUUGGUACCACUGGCUUUAAAUCUUCUAGGCAGCUUUGCCCAGGUUUUUCAUGAUGCUUCCAGUGUGCCAGGUCCUGGGGAGGGAUGUAUGUGUUUUAGCCCUAGCCUAAGUAGCUAAACCCUACCCUCACCCUGGCACAAUUUAUAUUAUGUUCAGAAGGCUCACCAAGGCUGCUGCAUUGUGUAUAUAUAUGGAGAAUAAACUGCAAUGGGUGGAAAUGAAGAGGCCAGGGCAGUCAUCCCAGGAGACAUACUGGGCAGGAUGGAGGAGAGCUAAGGGUGAUGAAGAAGACGGAGGAUCUGCAGGAGGUUCUCCAGGUGGGUUCUAACUACUGCACUUGGUAUACUGGCUUUGAGCUCAUAUUUCUAGGGGUGGGUGCCACUAGCUUUGUUUGCCACACUGCAUCCAGGCUGCCCUGCGGGGGGUGAGAGGUAAAGGGGUGAACCGGUGUAUCUAAUCCUAGCAGGACCCAGUAGCUUAAGCCCAUUCCUGUGCCCCCCCCCCCCAUGCUUUCAGUGGGGUCUUGUUGGAGAAGCCUGGUCAUUCUGGUGCAUUUCCUCUUGGAGCUGAAACAUGGUUUCUCUGGCCAUUUUGUAAGGAGUUGCCUAGCCACAUGUAUACCUCUUCAGUGCCCAUGUUUGCUGUAUAAAAAAGUAAAUUUGGAAACAUAUUUUAAAAUGGUCAGUUCCUCUGUUACAGUUUGAAUUGAGUCUCUUUAAAAUUUACAAUAUCUCAGAAGAUGAUCUUAUUUGAAAUAAUGUCUUUAUAAUAUAUUGAACUAGUUAAGAUGAGGUCAUAUGGAAGUAGGGUGUGUGCCUCCGGUAUGACUGAUGUCUUUGUAAAAGCAAAAUUUGGAGACAGAUUGUAUUAGUUUUUCAUUGCUCUAUCAAGAUAUCCAAGACAGGCUAAUUUUAUAAGUUUUUUAAUAUUUAUUUUUUAGUUUUAGGUGGACAUAAUAUCUUUAUUUUAUUUUUAUAUGGUGCUGAGGAUCAAACACAGUGCCUCACACAUGCUAGGUGAGCUCUCUACCACUGAGCCACAACCCCAGCCCUAAUUUUAUAAAUUAAAGAGCUUUAUUUAGCUCACAAUUUUGGAAGCUAAAAAUCCAAACAACAUAGUGUUGACUCUGGUGAGGGUUCCAUAGCAGAUAACAGGAGUACAGCAAGAGGAAGGAUCACAUCUCAAAACAGGAAACUAGAGAGAGAUUCAGAUCAGAUUCCAGCUUUCAUAACAACUUGCUCUCAUGAAAGCUCAGGGGUCCCAUGAGAGCAACCUUAAUCCCUUCCAAGAGCAAGGCCCCUAAUGACCUAAGGAGCUCCCACUAGGUCCCUCCCACCUCUGAAAGACCAUCUCCCUCCCACACACCACACUGGGGACCAUAUUUGCAACACAUGAAGCUUUGGGGUGACAACAUCCAACCAUAGCAUAGACACACACAGGGACAACACCACAUGAAGAUCAAGACAGAGAUUGAGGUAGGCCUGCACAAGCCAAGAAGCACCAAAGAUGGCCAGCAAAGCACCCGAAGCAAGGAGAGGGUGAAACAGUCAUCACAAGGAACCCACCCUGCAGGCACCUGAUCUCAGGCCUCCAGGCUCCCCAGACAUGAGAAAUGUGGUGGCUGCACCUGGGCACAGUUUCCAGGAGGCAUCUCCAAAUCCUACCACAGCUACGGCUAGGAAAAGGACUUAUCACCAAGACUCUGUGAUUCCUGGCUUUGUCCUAGUCUCCACAAGGGAAUAUGGUCCGCAGGUAAAUUUGGCUAGUCCCAGAAUAAACAGUCUCUUUUACUAGUUUUCAUUUUGUAGGAUUAUUAUUAAUUUUUUAAACUAACACACAUACAUAUGGUAAACGGAAACAGUAUAAAAGGAGAGUCAAUAUAGGUGAGUCUCUGCUCUUGCCCACUGCCUGGAAGAAGUCAAUCUCAAUCUUCCAGCCAUCCUUCCCUUCCAGCCAUUUCUUGCAUGAAUAAGUUUGUCUGAGUGAGCAAAUGAGACAUGCUUAUGUCUCUCAUUUAUUCUUUCAAUCUGUUGUGUCAUGGGGAAUAGUUCUGCAUUAGGGCAGAGGGGCUACUCAGGACUUUAGAGCCGCCACUCUGAGUGGUCCCAAGGCCAGCUACACAAACAUUUCAGGUAACUUAGUAGAAAUGAACAUCUCAUAGGCCUCUUUACAGAUUAACUGAGUUAGAAACUUGGGUCUGGGGCUCAUGAGCGAGAGAAUGUUCUAACAAACCGCCCACGCUCAGAUUUGGGGUGGAGAUGGUGCUAAGAUUAACUCUAAUUCUCACUCCAUUGUUCUGCAGCAUAAUUUAUUUUGGCUGAUUUAAAAAAGUAACAGGUUUUUAGAGGUUUAAAAUGAAAAUAAUGGAUCUUACAUUAUUCUUUGAAGUGUAACAGUUACACUUGUUGUUAAGUUCCACUUCAAAGGCUGGGUGCAUUUGAACUCUAUUAGAAAGUUAUUUUAGUUACAUAAGCCAAGGAAGGGAGAAAACAAAAAUGAAGAUACAAUCUUAACUCUAAGAAAAAUCACCUCAUUUUUACGAGUUUAUUACAAGACCAGAAGGUCAUGGUUCGUGGUUAAGUGUCUCAAGGUCAUUAAGCAGUUAAAUCUCAUCUGCAAACAAUUUACAGGAAAACAAGUGCAAUCCUCUAAAAUAGUUACAUAAGUGAAAUUUUUAAUAAUAAGCUUUUUUGGUUUCAAUGCUAGGGAUCAGCAGUCCUGAUAGACAGCUAUAAAAACAAACCUCAAUGAUUUCUCUGAUUUAAAGAUGCUGAUUCAUAGUAUGCUGCUAGGGGAUGGGGGAAUCGGGGGAUGGGAGGAUUAAAUGAACUCUAGAUAGGGCAAAGGGGAAAAGGGGAGGGAGUGGAAGGGAAGGGGAAUGGGGUUAAAGAGAUGGUGGAGUGAGAUGGACAUCAUUACCCUAAGUACAUGUAUGAAGACAUGAAUGGUGUGACUCUACUUUGUGUAGAACCAAAGAAAUGAAAAAUUGUGCUCUAUAUGUAUAAUUUGAAUUGUAAUGCAUUUUGUUGUCAUAGAUAACAAAUUAAAAAUUUAAAAAAUUAAACACUCCUAUCUUAAUAAAAACCUCUAUAUGAGGAGAACUUCUUACUCUUUUUAGUAAACUGAUGUUGAAAGAAACUUAAUGCACAAGAUACAAAUAAAUGUAGACUUUUUUUGAUGUUACAGUAAUCAGUUGGUAAAGUUUUUUGUGAGUGUGUCACAGAGAUUGAACGCAGGAGUGAUUUACCACUGAGUUAUAACCCCAGAACUUUUUUAUUACUUUAAUUUUAUUUUUAAAUUUUGAGACAGGAUCUCACAAAGUUGCUGAGGUUGGCCUUGAACUUGUGAUCCUCUUGCCUCAGCCUCCUGAGUCACUGGGAUUACAGGCAUGCACCACCAUGUCCAGCAUUGGUAUAUACUAACUUUUCCUUUUUUUUUUUUAAACAAUGGUUCAUGGGUCAAAUUUUUCAUAAUACGAUUGAAACUUGUGGGCCAUUUUAACUGAGCUUGGAUGGCAUGAUUUGGUGUAUUGUCUUUUACUUUACUGGCAUUUAGACAGCUUCUAGUUUUCUGUCUCACCAAGUCAUUGGUUCUAUGGCAUCUUUCUACCUGUGUCCAAUGAUCAUGGAGGUUAGGUUCCUCAAAGUGGAACUUCUAUGUCAAAGGUUCGGUGGACUUGACAUUUGAUAGAGUAUUAUCCAAUUAUUUUGUAAAGAGGUAGUUGCAAUUUACACAGGAUAUUAAAAUGUGAAUUUACACAUACUUGCUAAUAUCUUUUUUAAAUAUUUAAAGCUUUAAAAUAUUUUUCCAUGUGCAAGGCAAAAGAAGAGUGACUUCUUAUUGUCAUAAAUUCAUUUCUUUGUGGAGUCAUCUGGAUGUCUUUUUUUUAUUUAUGCUUCUUUCUCAAUUUUCUAUUGACUGCAGGUUUUCCAUAUUAAUUUGCAAGCACUCUUUACAUGAACAGCAAAUGAGUUUUUUGACAUCUGUGUUGCAAAUACCUGUAUUUUUUAAGUUGUUUUAUUUUUUCAUUCAAUUAUUUUUCAUGCAGAAAACUUUAAAUUUUUUAAAAUAUUUUUUAUUUAUUUCUUACAUACAUGACAAUAUUGGAAUGCAUUACACUCAUAAUUAGUCAUUCACAGCACAACUUUUCGUAACUCUGUAUAUAAAGUAUGUUCAUGCCAAAUUAUGCCAUUAUACAUGAACUCUCUCUCUCUUUUUUUUUUUUUUGCAUUACAAUUCUUAAUACAUCUUUAUAUCACAAUUUAUCAUAUCUCUGUUUGUAUAUAAGGUAUGUUGACACCAAAUUCACAUGUUCAUACAUGUAUUUUGUAUAAUGAUGACCGUCUCCUUCCACCAUCCUUACUAUUCCCUUUCUUCCUCCCUUUCCCUCCCACCCCUAUUCCCUAUCUAGAGGUAAUCUUCUUCCCAUGCUCUCCCUCCCUACCCCACUUUGAGUCAUUCUCCUCAUUUUAGAGAAAACAUUCAGCGUUUGUUUUUUGGGGGAUUGGCUAACUUCACUUAGCAUAAUCUUCUCUAAUGCCAUCCAUUUCCCUGCAAAUGCCAUGAUCUUAUUCUUUUUAGUGAUGAGUAAUAUUCCAUUGUAUAUAAAUGUCACAUUUUUAUUUUUUAGUUGUUGUUGGACACAUAGCUUUAUUUCAUUCAUUUAUUUUUUGUAUGUGGUGCUGAGGAUGGAACCCAGGGUCUUGCACAUGCAAGGCGAGCUCUCUACCACUGAGCCACAACUCCAGGCCCAGAAAACUUUAAUUUUUAUAUCAUCAAAUUGACCCAUCUUUAUUUUUGUGGCUUCUGGGUUUUAGGUCAUAUUUGUGGGAAAAAAAAAGAAAAAAAACUUUUUCCUUUCCCCAAGUAUAUCAGUCUGUUUUCUGUUUCUAUUAAAACAAUACCAAAGAAUGGAUGAAUUAUAACUAAAAGAGGUUUAUUUUGGCUCUUGGUUCUGGAGGCACAAAGUGGAGGGGCUUCUCUGGUAAUGGCCUUCCUGCUGGCAGAGCAUCACAUGGCAAGGGAUAGAGAAUGUGUGUGUGUGUGUGUGUGUGUGUUUUCUAGUCUGUCUCUCCUCUUAAAAAGGCCCCAGGCUUUAAUCAUGAGAGCUAUACUCUAAUGAUUUAUUUGAUCUUAAUUCCCAAAGGCCCCACCUCUAAACACCAUAGUUGAAUUAAGUUUCCAUCUUCUAAAUUCUUCAUAAUAGGGAUUAGAUUUCAAUAUGUGAAGGCUUGGGUGACACAAACCAUAUUCAAGCCAUAGCACCUAGGUACAGAAAAAUUCAUCCAUGUUUUCUCCUGGAAUUGGGAGGCCAUUGACUUUAGAGUUCAAUUGCCUAUGUUUAAAUCACACUUGCUGUAUGAUCUUGGCUAAGUAACUCAACCUCUCUGGACUCUGAUUCAUCAUUUGUACCUAUCACACAGGGAAAUUGUGAGGUAGUGUCUGAUACAGGGUCAAUGUGCAACUAGUAUUAUUUCUUUUUAUUUUUAGUUGAAUGCUUUUUAUAGCUUUACUUAUUGUUUUAAAUCUUUAUCCACUUAAAUAUUUAUUCAAUUUGCUUCAUGCAAGAAGGCAAGGAUCUAGCAAUUGUUUCUAAAUUAAACAUUAGAAAGGAGGAGCCAACAUUAUUAUUACUUAUAGAUAUCAUCACACUCCAAAGGAAGUAACUGAAAAAAAAAAAAAGAAGAAGAAGAAAUUGACUAUGUGACCUAUUAUAAGAAUUGGCAAAUUUUCUACAUACAAAAUGUAAACAGAAACUAAUGGAAAAAGUGUUUUCCCAUUGCCAUUUUGUUAAUUAAUCUCUUUUCUCGUUUAUUUGAAGUGCCAACUUUAUUAGAUAAUAAAUCCACAUCUGUUUUUGAGCCUGCUUAUUGACUUCAUAUUUUUUCCAUUGGCUUGACACUUUUUUAUGAACCACUGAACUGUUCAAUCAUCUUAGCUUUUUAAAAAAUAUAUAUUUUUUAUUUUUUUAGUUAUAUAUGGACACAAUAUAUUUAUUUUGUUUAUUUUUUUUAAUGUGGUUCUGAGAAUUGAACCCAGUGCCUCACCUGUGCAAGUCAAGUGUCUACCACUGAGCCACAACCCCAGCCCCAAUCAUCUUAGCUUUUAAAUUCAUUUUUAAUAUGAGGCAAAGCUAGUUUUUAGCAGUGUUCUUUUAUUUCAUAAUUUCUUAUCUGUUAUUACAUGAGUAUUUUCCCAUAUGAAUAUAAGGUUUUAGUGAAAUUAUAAAUUACUUGGGGAAGAAUUGAAACCUUUACAUUAUUUUUUUCUAAUCCGAGAAUUAGACAUUUCCCUGAUUCCAAUCUCUUUUUUAAAUCUCUCAGAAGAAGCUUUAAUUUUUUUUUCUUUAUUAAACAUCGACACAUUUCAUAUUAGUUUUUCGUGGCUGCUAUCUCCUAGUUCUUUUAGUUGUUGUUUUGUUUUAUUGUUUCCAUGAGUUUUCUGCCAAUUUUUUGUAUGUAGAAAAUUGAUCAAUUAUUGCAAUUCAGGUGCUUAAUUUUAAUUCAUUCUUUUAAAUUUUGGCAAUUUUUCAGUUGGUUCCUUUGGAAUAAAAUGAUAUCUAAAAAAUAAUAAUAAUAUUGCUAAUUCUACAAUUCUAAUUCUGCAUGUUGUUUCAACUGUAAAAUUUGGGGUUGGGUUGUUUUAAUUAAGUGAAUUAUUUCUCUGCAAAUGCUACAUGGAUAAAAUUAUGUGCAUGUUCAAUGAAACUUACAUUUUUUCUAGUUUCUUCAUUUUUUAAGUAUAAAUAUUACAUUUACAGGUAUUAUGUGUGAAUUAUUCUUUGUUAAUAAGACUUAACUUUUAAAAACCUUUUGUGUUCUUUCCUUACAAAAUUUGAAGUUUUUUAAAAUAUUUAUUUUUUAGUUGUAGUUGAAUGCAAUAUCCUUAAUUAAUUAAUUUAUUUUUAUGUGGUGCUGAGGAUCGAACCCAGGGCCUCCGUGUUAGGCGAGCACUCUACUGCUGAGUCACAGCCCCAGCCCCCAAAAUUUGAAUUAUAAGAGCAGAGAAAAGUGAAUUAGUUUUAUUGGGCUAUAUUUUUGAGCUUGUGUGUUUACAUAGACUGCAUUUAUUUAUGUCUUUCACAUACAUGGGAUAAUGUCAGGAAAUUGUUUUCACUAUUUUUAUCGAUAGGUUAACAAAAGCUAAAUGUAAUUAAAUGACUUGUCUAAAAUAAACAAUAAUGACAAUAAAAAAUAAUAAUGUUGCUUCCUCCUUUCCAGCGUGUAAGCCUUAUCUUUUCAUUUUGUCCAUUUGUUAUUUUCCAAAACCCUCCAGGACAAUGACAGCAUGUGGGGGUGCUGCAGGUGUUCCAGAUAGGCUUCUUGACUAUGCCUCUGGGGCUUGCCAUUUACCCUGGUGCUGGAUUUGCUAGAGCAAUUAUUUUAAAUUGUGAGCAUUCACUAGUGGAGUCCUUGGCAUCUGUCAUUCUUUGCUCUUGCCAAUAGCCCCAAAAAUCUUGCUUUGGAAAUGACCAUCCAUGUCUUCCUCUCAGCCCUGCACUUUUGUUAAGAGGGGCCCUGCCUGCACCUGUAUAGCAUGUCUUCCCUAGAUUUCUGAGUGUUCCUGUAAAGAGCUCUGCCCACCCCACCCCCCACCCAGAGGCACAGGAAUGUAUACAAACUUACAGAGAGCCUUUGUCUUCAUAUCUAGCAAUGUUUUACUUUUCGUGUACUUGUAAAGACUCAGGUUGUAGUCAUUUGUCUAGUUGGUUGCUCUGAGCCCAAGAGAUAAUAAAUCUUUUUCCCCAAGACUAGCACACGGUCACCUUCCAGACUAUUCCCCUAGUUUAAUUCCACGGUUGCCCCAAAGAUGGGAACACUCUCUCCACAGGCAUUUACCCUUCAAGGAAGAUGGGGCAGGGACCUUGGAGGCACCUCUAGUUUGUAAGGACCCACGAAAUGUGACCUGGUUCCUGCAGGAGUUUUAUCUACUUACCAAAAGGUUAGAGUCCUUUCCAUUCCAUCUCUAAUAACAAAGGCCUUUUCUCCCUCAUUUCAGAAAGGGAAAGGACAGCUACCUCUGUCCUGCAUAUAAGGAAGAGAAGAUCCAUUAUUCACUGUACUUGGCCCACAGAGUCUCGGCCACAUCGAAGGAUUUUCCAUUAGGCUUUCCUGGUGUGGCUCUAGGAUUAAAUAUCUGGGCAGAAGAGGGAGACAUAGUUGUUAUUUUGUGGAUGAUAAUAACUAAUCUGUCUCUGAUCCAAAAUACCCCCUAUGCUCAUUCAGGAUUAAAUUAAUCAAAAUAUAUAUUAAAAACCUCAUAGUACUUAAUUAGCAAAAACAUUACUAAUGACUCAUCUAAAAUGUGCACAGCCUUCUCAGGAGAUUCACUAUGAAGAUGCAGUAGAAAUUACCACCCUUAUCUUUCCAGACGUGCUAGUGGUAUUAAUCUUGGUAAUUCCCCAGAGAUGAAGUAUUGCUUCUGAUGUUCCACCUCGGCAGAGGGGUCAGUUACAGGAGAGUACUUUUGGCCCUUCAGCCAAAACAGCCCCUACUCCACAGAUCAGGGAAUCAAUGUGAACAUUCUAUUGAUUGCCAAAUAGAUCUAUUCCACCUGCUCAUCUUGAGAUGGAGGAAAUGACCACAGUUGGUGUCCCUGUUGGACCCAGUUUGAGAGAGAUCGGGGCAAGGACACUGUCCAUCACAGGCUUCUUGGGGCUUCCCUUCUGCCAGGCAGGCUGUGGUAGCAUUUCCCAUCCUUAGGAAUUUAGGUCAGUUAAGAGCAGGUAUAUAAUACUCCCAGGGUGGGGGUUGCAUCUUUCCCAUUCUCACAUCAUAGUUACACAGGUAAAUAGCCACAGUUUGCUCUGGAAAAGCUUGGAGAAAAUUCUUGAUACACUAUGGCUGCUUUGCAAAGUCUUUGUUUUAGGGCUCCUGGUCUGUGAUAGUGGUCAUGAAUCUCCCUAGGAUGAUUUGAUUUAGGUUUCUGCCCCAGAAUUUAUAUAUAUAUAUAUUUCUGCCUAGCUAUGUCAAGCAGCAUCUUAUCCUGAUCCAUUAGUUAUAACCACAAAUUGCUGCAGUUCCAUCAGUCCUUGUGUUUAUUGUCAAAAUUAUGGCCAUCUUGUCUAUAUUAGACAAGUAUACCACAGGUCCCACCACACCAGAACUGUGUUACUUUUCUUGAGACCAGGGAUGCUAAUUUCAUCACAGAGUUUUUCAAAGUGCUCUGUGCAGUUGAUCCAUUCCUGAUAUGUGUUUCAAAGCUUCUAUACAUGGUGGUUACACUGGGAUCACUGGGGGGGCGUGGCUGGGUGUGGGAAUCCAGUAGCUUUCAAUGAACAGAUGCAUUCCACUGUUCCUUUACUAUUUCCUCAAGCCUUUGCAGGAGCAGCAGGGUUUGGGGUGGGUGCUGGUGACUCACCCUGAAUAUAGGCUGCUGUGACAGGUGGAAUAGCUACUCAUGGAAUGAAGGUUGCUAACAGCUGACCCUAAGAUAAGGGGAUUGCACUGGGUCAGCUCGGAGGUGCUAAGAAAUCACAAGGCUCUUUACACAGAAAAAAAGAGAGAUAGAAGAGUCACAGCCCAGAAUGGGAGAGUUAUCAUCAAAAAGACUACAGGUGGAGCUGGGAAUGUGGCUCAAGCAGUAACGCGCUCGCCUGGCAUGCGUGGGGCACUGGGUUUGAUUCUCAGCAACACAUAAAAAUAAAAUAAAGAUGUUGUGUCCACCGAGAACUGAAAAAUAAAUAUUAAAAAAUUCUCUCUCUCUCUCUCUCUCUAAAAAAAAAAAAAAAAAGACUACAGGUGGAAGAAGGUCCUCAAGUCAAGAAAUGUGCACAGGGACAGCUUCCAGACACUGGAAGAGGCAAGAAAACAGAUAUAUUUCUAAGAUCUCCAGAGAGGAAUGCAGUCCUGCUCUCCCUUGAUUUGAUCUUAGCAAGAUUCACUUUUGGACUUCUGACCAGAACUAUGAACUAAUAAGCUCAUAUUGCUUUAAGCCUCUUAGUUUGUGGUAAUUUGUCAGAGCAAUAGGGAACUAAUACAUCUAUUGUUGACUCAGGUUUCAAAUUUAUGUCACUUGCAGGUUUGGGAGCAUAUAUAUCAGAGGAGUUUACCCUUGAAAAUGAAGUUAGCUGCACAGGACCUUUUAGUCCGUGGGAUGCUGACAAGUGUUUAAUGAUCAGCUCUCCAGGAAAAAAAAGCUCUGAUUUAUACCGAUUGCUUGCUGACUUCCAAUUUGCACAUACUCUCACCUUGGCUCUCUUCAAGCCAAAAACAUAUAUCUGAACUUGGUGUUGAGAAGCAACACAUAGUAGCCCAUCCUCAUGGAGUAUCUCCUGGGUACAGAGGUAGUUGACCUCCAAAGCAGAUAAUAGUAAAACACAGAGAAGACAACUAACAGUGAGUUUGGAGUAUUUAUUACCUGUAUUUUUUAAAAUAUUUUUUUAGGAAGAUG